rnacentral:misc_RNA from 1 species
UAGUUACUCCCCCCAUCCCAAAAAACCAACCUAGGACCGAAUGUGACACAUCCUAGUACUACGAAUCUAGACAUACAUAUGUUCAGGUUUAUCGUACUAGAAUAUGUCACAUCCGGUCCUGAUUCGUUUUUUAUGGGACUGAGGGAGUAC